rnacentral:snRNA from 1 species
AUUGCUUCUCGCCCUUUUGGCUAAGAUCAACUGUAGUAUCUGUUCUUAUCAGUUUAAUAUCUGGUAUGUCCUCAGUCUGGGGGCUAUAUAUUAAAUGGGUUUUUGCAGCUGGGAGAUGGAAUAGGAGCUUGCUCUGUCCACUCCACUUGUUGACCUGGUUUUGCAGUACCUCCAGGAGCGCUGCAGUCCUC